AUUGAACGCUGGCGGCAGGCCUAACACAUGCAAGUCGAACGAGUGGCGGACGGGUGAGUAAUGUCUGGGAAACUGCCUGAUGGAGGGGGAUACCUACUGGAAACGGUAGCUAAUACCGCAUACCCUCAGAUGUGCCCCGAUGGGAUUAGCUUGUUGGUGGGGUGACCGCUCACCAAGGCGACGAUCCCUAGCUGGGCUGAGAGGACGAUCCUCCACACUGGGACUGAGACACGGCCCAGACGCCUACGGGAGGCAGCAGUGGGGAAUUUUGGGCAAUGGGGGCAACCCUGAGCCAGCCAUGCCGCGUGUAUGAAGAAGGCCUUCGGGUUGUAAAGUACUUUUGUUAGGGAAGCGGUACCUAAAGAAUAAGCACCGGCUAACUACGUGCCAGCAGCCGCGGUAAUUC
rnacentral:rRNA from 1 species